UCCCUAUGAAGAUAUUUCACACGUCUUACUUCCUGUCCUAGCUCCAGAGCCUGAAAAGACGAACCCACUGGGGCUGGCUGGGGGAAAAGAGGACGUUUUGUUCCAGAAGGAACUGUCUAAUGGAU
rnacentral:snoRNA from 14 species